AAGGCCUUAAGUUAAACAAACUAAUAACCUUCAAAGCUAUCAAUAAAGAAGUAAUCUUUAGACCUUA
rnacentral:tRNA from 1 species